rnacentral:rRNA from 1 species
ACGACUCUCGACAACGGAUAUCUAGGCUCUCGCAUCGAUGAAGAACGUAGCAAAAUGCGAUACUUGGUGUGAAUUGCAGAAUCCCGUGAAUCAUCGAGUUUUUGAACGCAAGUUGCGCCGAAAGUCAUUAGGCCGAGGGCACGUCUGCCUGGGUGUCAC